AUGGAAGAAGAAAUCACUGAGCUCCUCAUUGACAAUGGCUCCGGCAUGUGCAAAGUUGGUUUUUCUGGGGACAAUGCCCCCAUAGCUGUGUUCCCCUCCAUAUUUGGGUGCCCCUGACACCAGGGCAUGAUGGUGGGCAUGGAUCAGAAGGAUCCCUAUGGGGGUGACAAGACCCAGAGCAAACGAGAUAGCCUGACCCUGAAGUACCACAUUGAGCAUGGCAUUGUCACCAACUGGGACAACAUGGAGAAGAUCUAGCCCCAUACCUUCUAUAACAAACUGUGCAUGGCCUCUGAGGAGUACCUGGUGCUGCUAACCAAGGCACCUCUGAAUCCCAAGGCUAACAGAGAGAGGAUGAUGCAGAUCAUGUUUGAAACCUUCAAUACUCCAGCCAUGUAUGUGUUCAUUCAAGGCAGUGCUGUCCCUGUACGCCUCUGGGUGCACCACUGGUAUUGUGGAUGCUGGUGACGGGGUCACACACACAGUGUCCAUUUCUGAGGGCUACACCCUUCCCUAUGACAUCUUGCUCUUGAUCUGGCUGGCUGGGACCUGGCAGACUACUGCCUCAUGAAGAGCCUGACCCAGGGAGGCUACAGAUGCACCACCACAGCUGAGCAGUGAGACUGUGUGUGACAUCAAGGAGAAGCAGUGCUAUAUUGUCCUGGACUUCAAGCAGGAAAUAGGCACUGCUGCAUCCUCCUCCUUCUUGUAGAAGAGCUAUGAGCUACCUGAUGGACAGGUGAUCACCAUGGGCAGCAAGCCAUUUUGGUGUCCAGAGGCACUCUUCCAGCCCUCCUUCCUGGGUAUGGAAUCCAGUGGCAUCCAUGAGACCACCUUCAACUCCAUCAUGAAGUGUGGUGUGGACAUCCAUAACAACCUGUAUUCCAACACAGUGCUGUCUGGUGGCAUCACCGUGUACCCAGACAUUGCUGACAGGAUGCAGGAGGUCCCGGCCCUAGCAACCAGCACAAUAAAGAUCAAGAUCAUUGCUCCCUCUGAACGCAAGUACUCAGUCUGGAUUGGUGGCUUCAUCCUAGUCUCACUGUCCCCCUUCCAGAAGAUGUGGAUCAGCAAGCAGGAGUCUGAUGAGUCAGGCCCCUCCAUCAUCCACCAUGAAUGCUUCUAG